rnacentral:rRNA from 1 species
GGCUGACGAGUGGCGGACGGGUGAGUAAUGCAUAGGAAUCUGCCCAGUAGCGGGGGACAACUUGGUGAAAACCAAGCUAAUACCGCAUACGCCCUACGGGGGAAAGCGGGGGACCUUCGGACCGGUCACUAUUGGAGGAGCCUGCGUAGGAUUAGCUAGUUGGUGAGGUAAAGGCUCACCAAGGCGACGAUCCUUAGCUGGUCUGAGAGGACGAUCAGCCACACUGGAACUGAGACACGGUCCAGACUCC